rnacentral:rRNA from 1 species
GACGAACGCUGGCGGCGUGCCUAACACAUGCAAGUCGAACGGGACCAGUCUUGGUGGCAACACUUUGGUUGGUUUAGUGGCGAACGGGUGAGUAACACGUGAGGAACCUGCCCCGGAGACCGGGAUAACAGGAGGAAACUUCUGCUAAUACUGGAUGUCCCCAUUGUGCCGCAUGGUGUGGUGGGGAAAUGGGUUUCCGCUUCGGGAGGGUCUCGCGGCCUAUCAGCUUGUUGGUGGGGUAAUGGCCUACCAAGGCGUCGACGGGUAGCUGGUCUGAGAGGACGAUCAGCCACACUGGGACUGAGACACGGCCCAGACUCCUACGGGAGGCAGCAGUGGGGAAUCUUGCGCAAUGGGCGGAAGCCUGACGCAGCAACGCCGCGUGCGGGAUGAAGGCCUCGGUUG